GUUAUUUUAAGCCUUUCAAAGUCAAAGCAUUACAUAUGUUCCAACUCAUUCAUUUUGUUGUCAAGUUUGCACACCACGAAUUAAAACUCCUGGUAACGUAAAAUCUUGACUGCAUACCUGCAAACGGACUUUCGAAAGGUUUAAUCUGCAAAAUAUAAUUUUAUGAAUAGUGUAAUCAUUAUUUAAGUGGUACAUAGAACUUUGAUAUAAAAGCUUGCUUCAUUGCCGUGUCAAUUGGAGUUGUUUCGUAAAUAGUACAAAAAAAUACUUCGAUGCCUAAGUAUGAGUCGUUGGUACACACUAUUUCUUUUAAUCACCCUUAACAUGAAAUUGUAGGUUUUACUAAGAAAGAUAAUAAAAGAAUGGAUAUC
rnacentral:lncRNA from 1 species